rnacentral:rRNA from 1 species
UGCUUAACACAUGCAAGUCGAACGGAAAGGCCCUGCUUUUGUGGGGUGCUCGAGUGGCGAACGGGUGAGUAACACGUGAGUAACCUGCCCUUGACUUUGGGAUAACUUCAGGAAACUGGGGCUAAUACCGGAUAGGAGCUCCUGCUGCAUGGUGGGGGUUGGAAAGUUUCGGCGGUUGGGGAUGGACUCGCGGCUUAUCAGCUUGUUGGUGGGGUAGUGGCUUACCAAGGCUUUGACGGGUAGCCGGCCUGAGAGGGUGACCGGCCACAUUGGGACUGAGAUACGGCCCAGACUCCUACGGGAGGCAGCAGUGGGGAAUAUUGCACAAUGGGCGGAAGCCUGAUGCAGCAACGCCGCGUGCGGGAUGACGGCCUUCGGGUUGUAAACCGCUUUCGCCUGUGACGAAGCGUGAGUGACGGUAAUGGGUAAAGAAGCACCGGCUAACUACGUGCCAGCAGCCGCGGUGAUACGUAGGGUGCGAGCGUUGUCCGGAUUUAUUGGGCGUAAAGGGCUCGUAGGUGGUUGAUCGCGUCGGAAGUGUAAUCUUGGGGCUUAACCCUGAGCGUGCUUUCGAUACGGGUUGACUUGAGGAAGGUAGGGGAGAAUGGAAUUCCUGGUGGAGCGGUGGAAUGCGCAGAUAUCAGGAGGAACACCAGUGGCGAAGGCGGUUCUCUGGGCCUUUCCUGACGCUGAGGAGCGAAAGCGUGGGGAGCGAACAGGCUUAGAUACCCUGGUAGUCCACGCUGUAAACGGUGGGUACUAGGUGUGGGGUCCAUUCCACGGGUUCCGUGCCGUAGCUAACGCUUUAAGUACCCCGCCUGGGGAGUACGGCCGCAAGGCUAAAACUCAAAGGAAUUGACGGGGCCCCGCACAAGCGGCGGAGCACGCGGAUUAAUUCGAUGCAACGCGUAGAACCUUACCUGGGUUUGACAUGGAUCGGGAGUGCUCAGAGAUGGGUGUGCCUCUUUUUGGGGUCGGUUCACAGGUGGUGCAUGGCUGUCGUCAGCUCGUGUCGUGAGAUGUUGGGUUAAGUCCCGCAACGAGCGCAACCCUUGUUCACUGUUGCCAGCACGUUAUGAUGGGGACUCAGUGGAGACCGCCGGGGUCAACUCGGAGGAAGGUGGGGAUGACGUCAAGUCAUCAUGCCCCUUAUGUCCAGGGCUUCACGCAUGCUACAAUGGCUGGUACAGAGAGUGGCGAGCCUGUGAGGGUGAGCGAAUCUCGGAAAGCCGGUCUCAGUUCGGAUUGGGGUCUGCAACUCGACCUCAUGAAGUCGGAGUCGCUAGUAAUCGCAGAUCAGCAACGCUGCGGUGAAUACGUUCCCGGGGCUUGUACACACCGCCCGUCAAGUCAUGAAAGUUGGUAACACCCGAAGCCGGUGGCCUAACCGUUGUGGGGGAGCCGUCGAAGGUGGGACUGGUGAUUAGGACUAAGUCG